rnacentral:lncRNA from 1 species
CAUAGAAUGAGUUUGGGAGUAUCUCUUCCUCUGCAAUUUUUUGGAAUAGUUUCAGAAGGAUAUGUGUUAGCUCUUCUCUAAAUGUUUGAUAGAAUUUGCCUGUGAAGCCAUUGUUGGAAGUUUUUUAAUCACAGUUUCAUUUUCGGUUCUUGUGAUUGGUCCAUUCAUCUUUUCUAUUUCAUCUUGGUUUAGUCUAGAAAGAUUGUACUAUUCUAAGAAUUUGUCCAUUUCUUCUAAGUUUUCUGUUUUAUUUGCAUAUAGUUGCAUAUAGCAUUCUCUUAUGAUCCUUUGUAUUCUGUGAUGUCCGUUGUUACUUCCCCUUUUUCAUUUCCUAUUUUAUUGAUUUGAGUCCUCUCUCUUUUUUGCUUGAUAAGUCUGGCUAGGGGGUUAUCAAUUUGUUGAUUUUUGCAAAGAACCAGCUUUUCAUUUCAUUGAUCUUUUCUAUGGUUUUCUUUGUUUCUAUUUCAUUGAUUUCUGCUCUGAUCUUUAUUAUUUCUUUCCUUCUACUAACUUUAGGUCUUUUCUGUUCUCUCUUGAGCUGCUUUAGAUAUAAAGUUAGCUUGUUUAUUUUGAGCUUUUUAUUUUUUCCUGAGGUGGGCUUGUAUUGCUAUAAACUUUCCUCUUAGAAUGGCUUUUGCUGCAUCCCAUAGGUUUUGGAGUGUCAUAUAUUCGUUGUCAUUUGCUUCUAGGUAUUUUUUAAUUUCCUCUUUGAUUUCUUCAGUGAUCCAUUGGUUGGAUCUAGAGGUGAUGUUUUUGGUAAACAGGCGGGGUUUGUGUUUGCCGAGUUCCUUUUACUUUUAUUUUAUUCUUUCAUCUUUCCCUUACGGUACUAUCUCUAUAGCGUCAAGAUAAAAAUUUCUAUCUCCUAUACUUUAAUGUCAGGUAAAUGUUUUAUUUUAUUUUAGUGUAGUUUUUGUGUUUAUUUAGUAUGUUGAGCUAGCUUUAGUUCAAAGCACCCAUAUAUUGUGGGAUCUUCUAGGUGUAAACUAGGUACUUUAGUUUAAGCUAUGCUUUGGUAAUCCAAGCACACUUUCCAGUAUGCUUACCUUGUUACGACUUGUCUCCUCUUGCAUGAUUAUGUAAUUAAAUAUAGGUUAUUUUGUAUUACUAUAUGCUUGAGGAGGGUGACGGGCGGUGUGUGCGUACUUCAUGGCCUUAUUCAAUCAAGCACUCUAUUCUUGAUUUACUGCUAAAUCCUCCUUUGGUUUUUAGUUUCAUAAAAACUUUCGUACGGUGAAUAUUCUUAUGCAGAAAAUGUAGCCCAUUUCUUUCCAACUCAUAAGCUACACCUUGACCUAACGUUUUUAUGUGUUAUGAUUGUGCUUACUAUUGUUCCUUUGUAGGGUUUGCUGAAGAUGGCGGUAUAUAGGCUGAAUUGGCAAGAGUUGGUAAGGUCUAUCGGGGUUUAUCGAUUAUAGAACAGGCUCCUCUAGGUAGAUGUGAAGCACCGCCAAGUCCUUUGAGUUUUAGGCUGUUGCGAGUAGUACUCUGG